UACGUAUGUCCCGAGCGUUAUCCGGAUUUAUUGGGCGUAAAGCGAGCGCAGACGGUUUAUUAAGUCUGAUGUGAAAGCCCGGAGCUCAACUCCGGAAUGGCAUUGGAAACUGGUUAACUUGAGUGCAGUAGAGGUAAGUGGAACUCCAUGUGUAGCGGUGGAAUGCGUAGAUAUAUGGAAGAAUACCAGUGGCGAAGGCGGCUUACUGGACUGCAACUGACGUUGAGGCUCGAAAGUGUGGGUAGCAAACAGG
rnacentral:rRNA from 1 species